rnacentral:tRNA from 1 species
CCUGGUGGCUCAGAGGGUAAAGCGUCUGCCUGAAAUGUGGAAGACCUGGGUUCAAUCCCUGGGUCAGGA